GACGAACGCUGGCGGCGUGCUUAACACAUGCAAGUCGAACGGAAAGGCCCUGCUUUUGUGGGGUGCUCGAGUGGCGAACGGGUGAGUAACACGUGAGUAACCUGCCCUUGACUUUGGGAUAACUUCAGGAAACUGGGGCUAAUACCGGAUAGGAGCUCCUGCUGCAUGGUGGGGGUUGGAAAGUUUCGGCGGGUGGGGAUGGACGCGCGGCUUAUCAGCUUGUUGGUGGGGUAGUGGCUUACCAAGGCUUUGACGGGUAGCCGGCCUGAGAGGGUGACCGGCCACAUUGGGACUAAGAUACGGAGCAGACUCCUACGGGAGACAGCAGUGGGGAAUAUUGCACAAUGGGCGGAAGCCUGAUGCAGCAACGCCGCGUGCGGGAUGACGGCCUUCGGGUUGUAAAAAGCUUUCGCCUGUGACGAAGCGUGAGUGACGGUAAUGGGUAAAGAAGCACCGGCUAACUACGUG
rnacentral:rRNA from 1 species